rnacentral:rRNA from 1 species
AGCGGCACACGGGUACUUGUACCUGGUGGCGAGCGGCGGACGGGUGAGUAAUGCCUAGGAAUCUGCCUGGUAGUGGGGGAUAACGCUCGGAAACGGACGCUAAUACCGCAUACGUCCUACGGGAGAAAGCAGGGGACCUUCGGGCCUUGCGCUAUCAGAUGAGCCUAGGUCGGAUUAGCUAGUUGGUGAGGUAAUGGCUCACCAAGGCGACGAUCCGUAACUGGUCUGAGAGGAUGAUCAGUCACACUGGAACUGAGACACGGUCCAGACUCCUACGGGAGGCAGCAGUGGGGAAUAUUGGACAAUGGGCGAAAGCCUGAUCCAGCCAUGCCGCGUGUGUGAAGAAGGUCUUCGGAUUGUAAAGCACUUUAAGUUGGGAGGAAGGGCAGUUACCUAAUACGUAAUUGUUUUGACGUUACCGACAGAAUAAGCACCGGCUAACUCUGUGCCAGCAGCCGCGGUAAUACAGAGGGUGCAAGCGUUAAUCGGAAUUACUGGGCGUAAAGCGCGCGUAGGUGGUUCGUUAAGUUGGAUGUGAAAUCCCCGGGCUCAACCUGGGAACUGCAUUCAAAACUGACGAGCUAGAGUAUGGUAGAGGGUGGUGGAAUUUCCUGUGUAGCGGUGAAAUGCGUANAUAUAGGAAGGAACACCAGUGGCGAAGGCGACCACCUGGACUGAUACUGACACUGAGGUGCGAAAGCGUGGGGAGCAAACAGGAUUA